rnacentral:rRNA from 1 species
GUCCUUCGGGGCGAGUAAAGUGGCGCACGGGUGAGUAACGCGUGGAUAAUCUACCCUUAAGAUGGGGAUAACGGCUGGAAACGGUCGCUAAUACCGAAUACGCUCCCGAUUUUACCGUUGGGGGGAAAGAUGGCCUCUGCUUGCAAGCUAUCGCUUAAGGAUGAGUCCGCGUCCCAUUAGCUAGUUGGCGGGGUAACGGCCCACCAAGGCGACGAUGGGUAGCCGGUCUGAGAGGAUGACCGGCCACACUGGAACUGGAACACGGUCCAGACUCCUACGGGAGGCAGCAGUGGGGAAUAUUGCGCAAUGGGCGAAAGCCUGACGCAGCGACGCCGCGUGAGGGAUGAAGGUUCUCGGAUCGUAAACCUCUGUCAGGGGGGAAGAAACCCCCUCGUGUGAAUAAUGCGAGGGCUUGACGGUACCCCCAAAGGAAGCACCGGCUAACUCCGUGCCAGCAGCCGCGGUAAUACGGAGGGUGCAAGCGUUAAUCGGAAUCACUGGGCGUAAAGCGCACGUAGGCGGCUCGGUAAGUCAGGGGUGAAAUCCCACAGCCCAACUGUGGAACUGCCCUUGAUACUGCCGGGCUUGAGUACCGGAGAGGGUGGCGGAAUUCCAGGUGUAGGAGUGAAAUCCGUAGAUAUCUGGAGGAACACCGGUGGCGAAGGCGGCCACCUGGACGGUAACUGACGCUGAGGCGCGAAAGCGUGGGUAGCAAACAGGAUUAGAUACCCUGGUAGUCCACGCUGUAAACGAUGGGUGCUGGGUGCUGGG